rnacentral:tRNA from 2 species
GCCGGCUUAGCUCAGUUUGGUAGAGCAACUGAUUUGUAAUCAGUGGGUCGCGGGUUCGAGUCCUGCAGCCGGCACCA